rfam:Loxodonta africana unplaced genomic scaffold scaffold_72, whole genome shotgun sequence.
GCCCUUGUGGUGCAGUGGGUAAGCGCUCGGCUGCUAACCGAAAGGCUGGUGGUUCGAACCCACCAGUGGCU